rnacentral:rRNA from 1 species
GACGAACGCUGGCGGCGUGGAUUAGGCAUGCAAGUCGGACGGUAGGGCUUUAUCGUAAGAUAGAGUUUGAGAGUGGCGAACGGGUGAGUAACACGUAGGAAUCUACCCUUAAGACGGGGACAACCCAGGGAAACUUGGGCUAAUACCGGAUGAGAGUGCGAGAGAUUGCAUUUAAAAGGAUGGCGAAAGUUGUCGCUUAGGGAUGAGCCUGCGGUCUAUUAGUUAGUUGGUGAGGUAACGGCUCACCUAGGCAAUGAUAGGUAGGCGGCCUUAACGGGUGGUCGCCCACACUGGGAUUGAGAUACGGCCCAGACUCCUACGGGAGGCAGCAGUCGAGAAUAGUCUACAAUGGUCGGAAGACUGAUAGUGCGACGCCGCGUGAACGAUGAAUCCCUUCGGGGUGUAAAGUUCUUUUAUAUGUGAGCAGUGCUUCUUAUACAGUAUGGGGAGAGAGAUAUUAGCAUAUGAAUAAGCAACGGCUAACUCCGUGCCCAGCAGCCCGCGGU